UACGUAGGCAGCGAGCGUUGUUCGGAGUUACUGGGCGUAAAGGGUGUGUAGGCGGUUGUUUAAGUUUGGUGUGAAAUCUCCCGGCUCAACUGGGAGGGUGCGCCGAAUACUGAAUGACUCGAGUGCGGGAGAGGAGAGUGGAAUUCCUGGUGUAGCGGUGAAAUGCGUAGAUAUCAGGAAGAACACCAAUGGCGAAGGCAGCUCUCUGGGACGGUACUGACACUGAGACGCGAAAGCGUGGGGAGCGAACAGG
rnacentral:rRNA from 1 species